CACCGGAGCAAGACAUUCUUCAUCUGCUGGUUUGGGUUCUUGUGUUUCUCUGGGACAAUGUGGAGUGCCGUUCUCUUCUUCUCCUUCAUCUCAGCAGCCUCCGCUGCACCGGUCUACAAUUACCUGCAGCAUUAUGGAAACCUGAUGCCGUCCAACCAGG